rnacentral:lncRNA from 1 species
GUGCGGGGAAAACAAACUCCAUCCGUGCCGGGUUGCCAAGUGCACUGUGCAGACAGGGCGAUGCACAUACUUUGCAGUGUAUCUGAAUAGCAAAGCCUAGACAUCAAACAGAAUGCACUAUGAUUCAAUCACAUCAAAACCAUCAGGACUUGAAAGCUAGGACAUUUUUUUUUUUUUUUUACCUCCUAUUCAUUAUGCUGCCAUAUUUCAUAAAAUAUACGGUGUUUCUGGCCAUUCACUUGAGAUUCAAUUGUAUUUUCAUUUGCCACUGCGAUUUAGACUAUUGAAAUAGCAAAUGGAAAAAAUACAUGCAUCCCUUUCUUUCCAGCUAUGCAGCGUUCAAUGUCAACAGAGAUGCAAUGUUGAUGGCACUGCCUUAAUUUAGUUAGUUACGCAACUUGAGGAAAAUGAAGAUGUGCACACUACUAAGCAAAGUGGUUUUUUUCUGUUCUUCUCUUGAUUUUCUAAGUCUAUGGUAGCAUAUGCAAUACAGACAGAGGAUUCUUCAAUGUACUCCCUCUAGAUUGUGCACAUAAAAUUCUAUUUUUCAAGAGUCUAAGAUAGAGCAGGAAUAGCCAAAAAGGAUAGACUUUUUUUUUUUUUUAACCUAACAGACUGGUAAAAUAUAACAAAGGAGAGAGGUUUCUGGCCUAUGUCUAACACACUUCAGGGCUUUGUACAAUAGUCUCAAGAGUAAUAAUCACCUUGCUUUAUGAAUACUUUAAAUCAUAGUAAAUGAUCUUGGGCUAUUUUCAGUAAAGCUGGAGUUUUUAAAGGUUUCCUUACAAAAUCAAAGAUAUUUAAAAAAUUAUAACUGAUCAGCGACUUACAUGUCUCAAAAUGUUAAUAUAAUAGAAAGAGAAAACAUGUGCAGAGAUUUAUGCAUGGGGAAAUACAUUUAAAUACAGUUCCAAUGUUGCCACUGCCUAGAAGCCUUUCAUGAUCAACCUUGCUGGCAAUGCUUCUCCCACCUCUGGACUCAGAUCAAGUCACUAUCUGUGCCACUAUUACGGCGCAUAUCGCAGGGCUUGGGAUUUUGUUCUCUCUAGCCCAGAGCCUAGUGGAGUGUCUGGUCCUGUGCACACAAGGCACAACUAUCAAACAAUGACUGACUGCGCUCAAGCCCACCUCCCCUCCCAGACUAUAAGGAACUUCUGCAUGGCAGGGAAAACCAACAUCAUUCACUCCUCUACCCGUACAAUUCUUCAUAAAUGUGAUACAAAAACAGCCAAUGAGACCAUGCCUGAUUGUCCACUGUCGGCUAGAAACUGCGACCAAUGCCUUCCUCCUGAGUAAUGUGAAUGCAAAACCACAGUGUUCGUCAACAUCUUUCUGGAGUCCAGACAAUGAAUGACCCCAAGACCUGUUUCUGGACUGAGCCUUGUAUUUUGCAUGCAGACUACCCUCAGGGCUACUCCUCUCUUACACACAAAAGAAUACUGACUCUUGAAAUAAAACAAUGACUGACUAAUUCAAUCACUGCCAAAUGAUGGGUCAAUAUUAAAAUGCCUUUGCUAUAUUUUUCUUUUGCGACUCAACACUACAGUCCUUAAUGCGGUAUGCUAAUAAAGGUGAACAAAUCACUUAGGAAGUAAAAAAAUUUGAUUCACUUAAAUAUUUAUCUAUAGAAAUUGUGUGUGUGUGUGUGUGUGUGUGUGUGUGUUUCCUUGGAGUGCUGAGAUUCUCCCUACCCACCUCCAGGUUCGGUAAGGCCCCACCCCCAAAGGAGCUGGUCCACGGGUUCUCCAUCAGACAUGCUAGUGGGGGGUGGGGCCUGGGGCAAGCUAUGGGCAAAAUAGGAUUUUAGUCAGAUUCAAAGAGUGACUGCUAGGAUUCCGGAUAAAUGGGGAAGUUUCUGCUCAUUUUCUUUUUUAUGUUCCCUGGUUUCAUUCCUAAAACAGUAGGAUUUUAUGCUUCCUAGGUAGGUACUAUUUGAAUGGCACUGGGAGAUAUCUCUAUUUAAAGACAUACUAAUAGGUCAUUUUUAGCAUUGCUGUAGUGUACAUGCAAUAGAAACACAAAAUAAAUAGCUUCUAGUGUGAUACAUUGUUAAAAGGGCAUUUAAAUUAAGAACUAUCAAAGAGACAUUCUCAUAUUCUAUUAACUUAAUUCUUUGGGUAAAGAAAAAUAAUUCCAUCUUUUUAUUUUAAUUCCAAAUGGCCCUUUGAUUAUUACUCUUCAAAGUCCCCAGCUGAAGGUGGAUGGCAAUGAUUAUUCCUAAUUUCCUGGUGAAGAAAAGCUGCACAAAGGAGUUCAAUUACUUUUCCAUUGUCAUAAGUGAGGAACAGAAUCAUGAAAUGAUACUUUGUCCCCUGGUCUAUGCUUUAGUCUUCAAAGCAGAAAGCUAGCACAAACCGUACUGGGAAUGUACUCAAGGUCUAGAUUUUUGUUAGGU